rnacentral:rRNA from 1 species
AGAGUUUGAUCCUGGCUCAGGAUGAACGCUGGCGGCGUGCCUAACACAUGCAAGUCGAGGGGCAGCGGGGGCGAAGCUUGCUUCGCCUGCCGGCGACCGGCGCACGGGUGAGUAACACGUAUGCGACCUGCCCCCCGCAGGGGGAUAACCGGGAGAAAUCCCGACUAAUACCGCGUAACGCCGCUGGGCUGCAUGGCCCGGCGGCCAAAGGAAGCGAUUCCGGCGGGGGAUGGGCAUGCGGCGCAUUAGCUAGUCGGCGGGGUAACGGCCCACCGAGGCGACGAUGCGUAGGGGUUCUGAGAGGAAGGUCCCCCACACUGGUACUGAGACACGGACCAGACUCCUACGGGAGGCAGCAGUGAGGAAUAUUGGUCAAUGGGCGGGAGCCUGAACCAGCCAAGUCGCGUGAGGGAAGACGGUCCUACGGAUUGUAAACCUCUUUUGCCGGGGAGCAACGGGGUCCUUGCGAGGGCCCGAUGAGAGUACCCGGAGAAAAAGCAUCGGCUAACUCCGUGCCAGCAGCCGCGGUAAUACGGAGGAUGCGAGCGUUAUCCGGAUUUAUUGGGUUUAAAGGGUGCGUAGGCGGGCUGUUAAGUCAGCGGUCAAAUGUCGGGGCUCAACCCCGGCCUGCCGUUGAAACUGGCGGCCUCGAGUGGGCGAGAAGUAUGCGGAAUGCGUGGUGUAGCGGUGAAAUGCAUAGAUAUCACGCAGAACUCCGAUUGCGAAGGCAGCAUACCGGCGCCCGACUGACGCUGAGGCACGAAAGCGUGGGUAUCGAACAGGAUUAGAUACCCUGGUAGUCCACGCAGUAAACGAUGAAUGCUAGCUGUCCGGUUCUACGGGACUGGGUGGCACAGCGAAAGCGUUAAGCAUUCCACCUGGGGAGUACGCCGGCAACGGUGAAACUCAAAGGAAUUGACGGGGGCCCGCACAAGCGGAGGAACAUGUGGUUUAAUUCGAUGAUACGCGAGGAACCUUACCCGGGCUCAAACGCCAAAGGACAGCCGUUGAAAGGCGGCCUCCCUCCGGGGUCUUUGGCGAGGUGCUGCAUGGUUGUCGUCAGCUCGUGCCGUGAGGUGUCGGCUUAAGUGCCAUAACGAGCGCAACCCCCAUCGACAGUUGCUAACGGGUAGAGCCGAGGACUCUGUCGAGACUGCCGGCGCAAGCUGCGAGGAAGGCGGGGAUGACGUCAAAUCAGCACGGCCCUUACGUCCGGGGCGACACACGUGUUACAAUGGCCGGUACAGCGGGAUGCCAGGGCGCGAGCCCGAGCGGAACCCGAAAACCGGUCUCAGUUCGGAUUGGAGUCUGCAACCCGACUCCAUGAAGCUGGAUUCGCUAGUAAUCGCGCAUCAGCCACGGCGCGGUGAAUACGUUCCCGGGCCUUGCACACACCGCCCGUCAAG